CUCUUAUUAAAACACUUUGACACUUUGGUCCACAGUGGCUUUGGUGCCUUGAACAUCAGCACUCCAAAACACUUGCGUAGACAAUUUAUUAUCUUCAGCAUUCUUCAUAACUGUGAUGAAGAGGAGCACAGACAAACACAAGAGAGAUACAGAGUGUGAGAAGUAACUGAAAAUAUCACUUCAGCUGAACUCUUGAAGAAAGCAGAUGUGUUUUAUCUAAGUGUCUUUAAGUAAAGGAUUUGAAGAAAUGUCACAUGUUGUUCAUUUUGGACUGCUUAUCGCAUGCUCAGUUCUUGUUGGGUGUAGCAGCAUUAACAAGGAACAAUGGAAGAGCAUGCUGGAAAAAAAAAAGUUGAACCUUCCCCAAGAAUUCAAAAUGAGUCAUGAAUUGAACAUAGAGAACUCUGAGAUGAAUGCCAUUAUGUGUUGGGUUUGCAAGAAGUCAAUUCAUGAGAUCAAGGGUGUGAUUCUUCAUGAGAUUAAAAAGGAAAUACAGGCCGUGUGCAAAGCAAUGAAAAUUCUCAAACACAUCUGCGAGCUCAAUGCUUACAAAUACCAAUUAAUUAUACUUCAUCUACUGUUUCCUGGUAAUAGCAAACAAACCUGUCACAGUUUGAGCAUGUGUAAAUAAAUGUAUUGCCCUGUUGUGAUGAACCAAAUUAUUUUCAACAUACUUUUAAUAAAUCAGCCUGUGGUCUGUUUGAUGUUGCUAUA
ensembl:lncRNA